rnacentral:rRNA from 1 species
GACGAACAGACCUCUGGUGUAUCAGUCGUCGUGCCAACGGCGCUGCUGAUUAGCCACGUCUGGACGGGAUAACCGCUGAAAGCAUCUAAGCGGGAAGCCCACCUCGAGAUGAGGCCUCCCAUCCCCUCGAGGGAGUAAGGGUCGUGGGAGACCACCACGUCGAUAGGCGGGACGUGGAAGCGUAGCAAUGCGUGAAGCGGACCCGUACUAAUGACCCGAGGUCUUGAUUUG